CGAAUAGGAUGGUCCGGCAAUAG
rnacentral:siRNA from 1 species